GGAGUCAAUACUUUUUUUUUUUUUUAUAGCAAAACAAUAUUUAGAAUUAAUGACUCAUUGAGAGAUGGUAGUCAAUUCAAAAUGGUGCUUCCAAUUCCCAUUGUUAUUUUUGUGUACUUGUUCACAUUUUUUCUGGGGACAAGGUAAUGGUGGAUUUUCAAGCUAACUGUGGAAGAUUUUUCUCAUAAUGGGAAAAUAAUCAUUGAAUUUAUUGAUUUUUAACAUAAAUGUAUCUACAUUCCAUCUUUCCAAAAAGUUUUCCUUUAUUUAUAUUUUUAUUUUCUUUAUCAAUAAUGGCAAAUAUUGAUUCUGUUCUAUGUUACACCCCAUCCUGCUUUCAUGAGCCCUCCCUUGUCUUUAAAGGUUAGGGAUAGAGGGUAAUAUAAUUGAAUUCAGUUAGGUUGGUUUACUACCAAAGUCAUUUUGAACUAUUGCAAAGAUGUUUAGUGUAUUUACUUUUUGGUUUUUGGUGCUUUAGGUUCUCCCCUGAGAAAAUUUG
rnacentral:misc_RNA from 1 species